rnacentral:rRNA from 1 species
UGGGGAAUUUUGGACAAUGGGCGAAAGCCUGAUCCAGCAAUGCCGCGUGUGUGAAGAAGGCCUUCGGGUUGUAAAGCACUUUUGUCCGGAAAGAAAUCCUUGGCUCUAAUACAGUCGGGGGAUGACGGUACCGGAAGAAUAAGCACCGGCUAACUACGUGCCAGCAGCCGCGGUAAUACGUAGGGUGCAAGCGUUAAUCGGAAUUACUGGGCGUAAAGCGUGCGCAGGCGGUUUGCUAAGACCGAUGUGAAAUCCCCGGGCUCAACCUGGGAACUGCAUUGGUGACUGGCAGGCUAGAGUAUGGCAGAGGGGGGUAGAAUUCCACGUGUAGCAGUGAAAUGCGUAGAGAUGUGGAGGAAUACCGAUGGCGAAGGCAGCCCCCUGGGCCAAUACUGACGCUCAUGCACGAAAGCGUGGGGAGCAAAACAGGAUUAGAUACCCUGGUAGUCCACGCCCUAAACGAUGUCAACUAGUUGUUGGGGAUUCAUUUCCUUAGUAACGUAGCUAACGCGUGAAGUUGACCGCCUGGGGAGUACGGUCGCAAGAUUAAAACUUAAAGGAAUUGACGGGGACAUAGCUGUUUCCU